UACGGAGGGUGCAAGCGUUAUCCGGAUUUACUGGGUUUAAAGGGUGUGUAGGCGGGUCUUUAAGUCUGUGGUGAAAUCUCCGAGCUCAACUUGGAAACUGCCAUUGAUACUAUUGAUCUUGAAUUUUGUUGAGGUAGGCGGAAUAAGUCAUGUAGCGGUGAAAUGCAUAGAUAUGACUUAGAACACCAAUUGCGAAGGCAGCUUACUAAGCAAAUAUUGACGCUGAGGCACGAAAGCGUGGGGAUCAAACAGG
rnacentral:rRNA from 1 species